AGAUCAGAAAACAUAUUGGCUGAGAUCAACAGUGCGCGAUAGGAUCUCAGCCACAGCCUUCUCUCUGCUCCUCAACCACAAAAACGUCCUCAGAAAUGGAUGGAGCCCAGAUCUACCUGGUGACAGGAGGAUGUGGUUUUAUUGGGGAAAAGAUCACAGAGCUCCUGUCUCAACAAGACUACAUCAAAGAAGUCAGAGUUUUUGAUUCAGUAGCAAGAAAAGAAGUAGAAAAAUUUGCCACAGCUACCACUCAUGUGACAGUGAUGAAAGGAGACAUUCGAGACUACAAUCUGCUCCUUGCUGCCAUGCAGGGCGUUCACGUGGUUAUCCACACAGCUGCUAUUGUGGACUGCAGAAACAUGUUGCCCUUUUGGGAAAUGAAAGCUGUCAAUGUUGGGGGCACUGAAAAUGUGUUAAGGGCCUGCUGUGCCCUGAACAUCCCAUAUGUUGUCUACACAAGCUCCAUUGCUGCGGUGGGACCCAACAUUUUGCACGAGCCCAUGCUCAGAGGAAACGAGGACACCAAAUACAGCGGGGAAGUGGAGCUACCGUAUGGGAAGACAAAGGCCAUAGCAGAAAGACUUGUAUUAGAAGCCAAUGGGAAAAAGCUCAGCAACGGUGGUAAACUUCUAACCUGCGUCAUCCGUGCAAACACAGUAUAUGGGGAGAAAGCAAUGUUCCUUCACGAGUUGUAUUUGUCUGCUAAAGCCCAUAAUGGCGUGUUGAACUAUCUGGAGCCUGAACACACAGAGCGCAAUUCCACGUAUGUGGGGAAUGUCGCAUGGAUGCACGUUCUCGCAGCCAGGCACCUGCAGCUGAAACCAGACAUACUCGCCGGGCAGGUGUAUUAUUCCUAUGAUGACACUCCGACAACAAAAAGUUUUCUGAUCAGUCAUAGUAAUUACCCUGGAAAGGAAGCGAAGGAAUACGCUGGGAGCUGCCAAGUGAACUCCAUGGAAAUUCACUCGCAGGAGAGUCCUUUGCAAAAUGAGCUUCCAAACCAAAAAUAAUUUGCUCAGUUGUCUUUGCAACUUUCUGCUAUCAAUUAAAUGCUAAAUGAUGCCUUGCUGAGAACGUGACAGAGAAAUAUAUACCCAAUUCCUUGAGCACAUUGCCAGAGCUUUGCUAAGGUAUGACUACGUUGACCUCAACAGGUUUUAAUGCUUCUGAAACCUCGGUUUUAUCUUGCCAAAAAAGAGCCACUGGGUGGAGCUGCAAGUCUGUCAGACAGUCUGCAGUACUUGGAGCCCUGGACACCCCUCGGCUGCCUGGACGCAUUCAUCUUUUUAUCCUCAUGUAGUUGUGUCAUCAAAGAGACCAAGGAAAUUAUUUUUUCCGUUCAUAACUUCUUAGAAAAGAAUCAAAGUUUGCUUUUAACUUAGCAAAAUAUAAUGAAAUGCGGCACUCUGACCUUUGAGAGAACUGGCCUAAGUACAAGAGCUGACGAUUCCAGUCCCGCUCGGAGCCUCUGGCACAUUCCUUUGUGGGCUAUGGAGCUGCUGAAGGUACCAAGAGGUGUAAUUGUCAAACCCCGGUCCCACUCCAGCAACCAACCUUACGAGCUUGCCUCCUUUCAGAAACCUUACUGGGAAUCUCCUCUUCCUGUCCUGCCCAUCAUCACCCAGGGUUCUGAUGUUUAUCAGGACACAGAUGACACGAAGGAUAAGGAGCAGGCAUUUUUCAAAAGGACCUGAAUCAUUCACCGCCUUAACUCUUUCCAUACCUACCCACCAACCAAGCUUUGACAAAAGCCAGCGGAAGAUUCCCUUUCCCCGCACACAGAGCAGAAGUUGGGGGGAAAAAGUUAGACAGCAAAGCCUCUGUACUGCUUUCCAAAAAGAUGAGUAAGCUUCCUUUGGCUGUGCUGCAGCUUGGCUCCCCCCGGGUUGUGCUGCUGCAGACUUCCUGCUUGAUCCUUGAUUUUAUCAGAUUGUAACUUGUUUUCUCCUGGCAGUGCUUUCAUUCUUUCUACUGCACUGGGUUGUCAUUGGCUUUUCCUUGCAGGGUCUCAGCCCUAUUAUGUAACAGCAGCAGCAAAAAUAAAAGGGGGUGGGGGGGAAUAAUUCAGAUCUGUUUCUACUUCUGGAGAGGAGCCUUUGUGCACAAUUACUCAUCCAAGAGAUUCAGCAGGUAUAACUGCUUCCCCCAGGGGCUCCAUUAUAUAAUUGGAUUUCAGCCAUACAAAUUAAAUCCUAUCUUACCCCUUAGUUAAGCCAGGCAGUAAGUAUUUAAUGCUAAUAUCCUUAACAACUAUUGCAGGGAGAAGCAGAGAUGAAGCACAGAGGAGACAGAUGCGAGUGUCCCUACUGGAGCAGAGCGAGGAUGAACACUGACAAAGACACCUGCUAUUUUUUAGAGCUGCCUGCACUUCCCCAGUGCGAUCCAUGGCGUCUGCUGGAGGAGCUGUCUGGGCUGGAAAGUGGCUUUCCCUUCAUUUUCCACCCUGCAGUGUUCCCGUGUGUGCGCUGAGCGCUCAUCCCCCCUCAACACACAUACAGUUCAAAGAGCCUCACGCCUAACCCUGUUUGAGUUUCUAUGGUAGUCUCUGUUCUUGUGCAACGUCUGAAAGGAGCGAGUUUAGUAAUAUUAAAACUCCAGCCAAACACACAAACAGGCAAAGAAUCCACAAAUUAAAAAGAAAAUCUUAACCGAA